UACGGGGGGGGCAAGCGUUGUUCGGAAUUACUGGGCGUAAAGGGCUCGUAGGUGGCCAACUAAGUCAGACGUGAAAUCCCUCGGCUUAACCGGGGAACUGCGUCUGAUACUGGAUGGCUUGAGUUUGGGAGAGGGACGCGGAAUUCCAGGUGUAGCGGUGAAAUGCGUAGAUAUCUGGAGGAACACCAGAGGCGAAGGCGGCCUACUGGGCUGCACCUGACGCUGAGCCGCGAAAGCUAGGGGAGCGAACGGG
rnacentral:rRNA from 1 species